UUAGCAGCAAGCUACUUGACUGCUUUUCUGUUUAUACAUUUGCUUGACAUCCCUCACAAGCGUGGUUGCUCGCGUAUUUCUUGUGUUUGUGAGGUAUACCGAUUAGUAUUCUUCGCUGAUUUAGAGCAGUCUUGCGUUGAAAAAACAGGAUGUGAUGGUGCUGUGGCUUUCCUUCUGCCAUGAAGAUUGUCGUAAUUGACUGAUUUUACAAGCAGCAGAAAGUUCUACCCUUGUACGGAGAAUGGAUUCAUCUAAACAUCUGUUCGCGAAGCUCUAAAGAACCAAGUGGAACUAUCCAUCUUCUAUAUAAAUUAUUAAAUAGUAUACCUUGAUAGACAUGGAAAUGGCCAUGAAUUUAAGUUUCAAGAAUUUUCCAUCAAAAGAUCUGAUGCCUAACUGAAGAUGUGAAAAUAGUAUCAAGGAGUUAAAAUCCACAAAAAUACACCUAGGAUUUUUAAUGAAGGUGAGAGCAGUUCGUGGUUUAUUCACAUAAGGGAUUCAUCAAAAAGAACCCAAUGUUUUAACAGGUGGAUGUAACUUCCUGAAUUUGCGUUAAGAAUAUGCCUUCUCUAAGAGUGUUGACGUGCAGCAACUAUAUAUAACUUCAUUGGCAUAUUCCUUCAAAUAUAGUGUGCCUGCCUCUUAACAAAUGGUUUGAGUAAAAACUUUUGAAAUAUAAAAGCUUCAAUUUAGGUCUGGUGAAAGACUCAGUGUAAAUAUGCCUAAUCAAUAAAUUUAACGUAAGGAUAUCGUAAUUGUUUUAGGGUAUUGGUUUAGAUUUUCAACCAUAAUGAAGCACUGAGUGAGCAUUUGGGCGUCUUCAUCCUGUUAGUCUUGCUUGGAAGGCUGUGUAAGGUUAUUACCACCUCAUAAGGUGGGAAGGCUGUGUAAGGUUAUUACCCCACUUGCAAGCAAACCAAUUUAAGUUUCUGAUGCUUAGAAGCCUGUGUAAGUGUUAGUGCUUCAAUCACUGGUGUCAGAUAGCUGUUGAAGGGUAAAUCUUUCAGUCAAGCUCUGUAGUUAUUGCUAUGGCUUUAGCAGUACAAAGCUGUCAAGGUAGAUUUGAUAAAAUAUUCAUUUUUUCUGAUUUACUCUGGGUUGAGACAGCUCUUCAAAGUAGGCAAUUUUCAUAGGGUAACCCUAUGCAUGUCAUCUACUGCCAUUUGAAGAGUUAAGUUGUAGGGUGGACCAUUUAGCUAAUUUGGCUGGAAAUGCAAUUAAAUUUGAAUGUAAUUUACACCUAAUCGGAUAUCUAAGUUAUAGGUAGGACUGGCAGUACAUCCUGUGGCUUUCAAGCAGAAGGUUGAUAAGAGAAAGACUUGGACCUAUUAGCUUUAAUAUGAAGACUAGAAAGUUUUCACAGCUAGCUUGACUAGCUUUAUAAUCUAACAAUAGAUUAAGAUUAUAUUUUAUUUCCAGAUAGGCCUUAUGGGUGUCAAUCAGUAGUUUUAUGGGUUGUACAAAGUGCAUUGUAAAUGUUCUUCCCAAACCACUUGCAGGAAAUAGUGUAGGUCUUCAAGUUGACUGCUUAGGGUAAUAGCUUAUCUUAUUCCUGAAAAAAUAGUUUCAUAGAUUUUUGACAAGCCAUUUAUCUUGGAAAAAAGAUUCAUAGUUUCAUAGGAUAGGUCGAAAUUUUUUUCGAAUACCUUUGUAGAGCUAAGAUUACUUUGAAUAGUUACUGGGAGUGUUCAGUAGCUUAUGUAUUAAUGUAUUAACAUUUAAACAGUAACUUGAUAGCAGUUUAAUAUAAUUUAAUUUGGCCUUGAGGCUUAAACACAAAAUGAUUUAUUCAGAAUCUGUUACAGUAGCAGCCAUUAGGUUUAGAUUCCAAUGUCUGUGUUCAGUUACGUUCUUUUAUCAGUUAAUAGGGAAGGGUAGGGGGAAGUGUAAAAUGCCAUAGGCUAUAGUAACAUGCAGGCCAAAAUAUCUUUGUAGUAUAAAACGUAAACUUUAAAUUCCUGUGUUGUAAUCGCGAAGGCUGAUGCUAAACUGAAAUGUUAAAACAGUGUUAAGGAGUUUAUUAUUUAUAAUAAAGUUAAUUGAAGCAAGAGAGCGUAGUUUCCGGAUGAUUCAAGUAAAAAAUCUUAUCAAAAUGGAUCCUGUAUCAAACAGGUGAAGAUGUUUUUUUAUAUUUGCAUCAAAAAUAUGCUUCCUCUAAUGGUGUCAGAGUAACAGACACAACAAGGGCUUUAAAAGAAAAGAGAAUAAGGCUGUCUAGUAGUAUCUAGGAAAUAUGUAUUUUCCACUAUAAAUGGUCUGAUGACAAAC